UCCACUCACUACUGUAAGUCACUCUGGAUAAGAGCGUCUGCUAAAUUACAAAAC
rfam:Salmo salar isolate Sally breed double haploid chromosome ssa16, whole genome shotgun sequence.